CCUACGGGGGGCAGCAGUGGGGAAUAUUGGACAAUGGGCGAAAGCCUGAUCCAGCCAUGCCGCGUGUGUGAAGAAGGCCUUCGGGUUGUAAAGCACUUUCAGUGGGGAAGAAAGCCUUGGGGCUAAUACCCUCGAGGAAGGACAUCACCCACAGAAGAAGCACCGGCUAACUCCGUGCCAGCAGCCGCGGUAAUACGGAGGGUGCGAGCGUUAAUCGGAAUUACUGGGCGUAAAGCGCGCGUAGGCGGUCUGAUAAGCCGGUUGUGAAAGCCCCGGGCUCAACCUGGGAACGGCAUCCGGAACUGUCAGGCUAGAGUGCAGGAGAGGAAGGUAGAAUUCCCGGUGUAGCGGUGAAAUGCGUAGAGAUCGGGAGGAAUACCAGUGGCGAAGGCGGCCUUCUGGACUGACACUGACGCUGAGGUGCGAAAGCGUGGGUAGCAAACAGGAUUAGAUACCGUGUAGC
rnacentral:rRNA from 1 species